AUCUACUAAGUGUAAGUAAGUCACAGGAGACUUUGAUUCUCCAAGAGGGAUCAACCCAGUAGAUU
rnacentral:tRNA from 1 species